rnacentral:rRNA from 1 species
CGGCGGACGGGUGAGUAACACGUGGAUAACCUACCUAUAAGACUGGGAUAACUUCGGGAAACCGGAGCUAAUACCGGAUAAUAUAUUGAACCGCAUGGUUCAAUAGUGAAAGACGGUUUUGCAGUCACUUAUAGAUGGAUCCGCGCCGCAUUAGCUAGUUGGUAGGGUAACGGCUUACCAAGGCGACGAUGCGUAGCCGACCUGAGAGGGUGAUCGGCCACACUGGAACUGAGACACGGUCCAG